rnacentral:lncRNA from 1 species
UCAGUAAUGGCCAGCAUAUUGACCAACUCGUAUAAGUUGCAGUCCAAUUUGUUCAUAUGGUAGUUUACGAAAAACUGUCCAAAUGAGCUGGUCAACGAUUGGAGGACCAAAUCGACCUUUAAUACUCUCUGCAUAUUAAGUCUGAGCUUCUCAAGCUUCUUUAGAUCCUUGAUCAUUGUCAUACAAUGAUUGUAGAUUGACUGCUCGUCGUGCAUCUUCAUAUUGAACAACUGCUUGGAC